UAUCUUGUUUUGAAGUGGUCCUUUCUUGGUUAUCACAGGUUGAAGAAGGUUUCUCUAGUGAUUCCUGUCUCCAAGAAGAAAAAUUAUUUAGUCAGAGGGGAAGAGAAAACUGAGUUAUCAUAGUCAUAAUGGAUGAAGAACUGUCUUAGCCUUACAAGACAAUAGACUUAGGAGAAGAGAUCUGAAAAGAGAAGGGAAGGAGAUUUCACCUUAGUCAGCAUCCUCAAAACAGAUAUCGAUUCAGCAAUUUCUCCAAGCAAAGCCAGCCAUGGAAACUGAAAAUGUUAAUGUGCCAGGUCUGCCUCUCGUCAACCACAUCACUGAAGCAAGCACUGAUUUUCAGAGAGGAAGAUGUUCUAACAUGCUGCCUUUUCUCGUCUGCUGAACUGCAUUUUCAAGACAUGAAAAGUGGAAGAAUGUCAUGAAGACACGAAAAUCUGAUGCAAUUGUAAUUGAAAGACAGCAUAGCUCAAAAGGAAAGGUAAGGGUAAAUAUGUUGCCUAGGAUUAAAAAGAAAAAGAUACAGUUAUAGGUGGUCUCAUCAGCCUGAUUUAUCAAGGUUCUCAAG
rnacentral:lncRNA from 1 species